rnacentral:lncRNA from 1 species
CACAUGUAUAACCCAUAUGCAGACACCAACACACGCGGUACACACAAACGAAUCAACACACAUCACCCACCACACAUACCCAGCACAUACACACAAGGCUGACAAACACAAACACAACGCAUAAAUCAACACGUAUCACCAACACACCCAGCCACGCACAACUAAUACAUGCUAGACACAAAACCAACACACACCCAACACCCACAAUCAACUCUCACAUCCCACACCCACAAGCCCUAGUUAUAGAGGCAACCAUACACACUCAAGGCCACUCUCUAACAUCUUCCACAGGGGUUCUGGUGACACAGACACAUAUAAUAUUGGGAGAAAGGGGGAGGGAGACCCCAGAGAUAGACAUAGAUGGGAGAGAGAAACCAAGGAGGUGCUGUAUUGAGAGGCGUUCAGACUCAGGGACUCCAGGGAGGAGGAGCAAAGCCACGCGAGACCUGAGCGGCAGAAGCUCAAUACAGCAAGCCAGAAGCUCAGCUCAGAGCACAAGGCGUGAGAGCGCUGGGUGCUCUGCUGUGCUGACACCAGAGGGCAGAGGGUUUCAGAAUGCCUUGAUCAGACCCAACACCCUACUCAUUCUCCACGGACCAAAGCCAGAGAUCAGGAAUGCCCAUCCCACCUCCCCUGGACAGAGAAGGCGGUACUUCAAGAAGCAGUCGCAGACCCUGGUUAGGGCGGGUGUCGAGUCGCCGACCUGGAGUCAGAUCAUCUACUUAUAAAUUUUGGUUUUGGUACUUACUGUGUGACUUCGGG